rnacentral:tRNA from 1 species
GAAACUUAUAGGCUUAUUCUUGUCCUGCUAAGUCAUAGAAUCUGUGGUUCGACCCCAUAGAAGUUUCG